ensembl:vault_RNA Vault Vault RNA
GAGCCAGCUUAGCCCAGCUCAGCGGUUCCAUCGAACAAAGCAUUGCACAGACCCCCCAAUCGCUUCCGGUGGUUCAAGACCCGCGGGAGCUGCCUGGCUUUCAA